rnacentral:rRNA from 1 species
ACGGAAGGCAGCAGUGAGGAAUAUUGGUCAAUGGACGCAAGUCUGAACCAGCCAUGCCGCGUGCAGGAAUAAGGCCCUAUGGGUCGUAAACUGCUUUUGUGGUGGAGCAAUAAGUCGUACGUGUACGGCGAUGAGAGUACAUCACGAAUAAGCAUCGGCUAACUCCGUGCCAGCAGCCGCGGUAAUACGGAGGAUGCAAGCGUUAUCCGGAUUUAUUGGGUUUAAAGGGUGCGUAGGCGGGAUGUUAAGUCAGCGGUUAAAUAGUGUAGCUCAACUAUACUUUGCCGUUGAAACUGGCGUUCUUGAGUGUAAACGAGGUAGGCGGAAUGUGACGUGUAGCGGUGAAAUGCUUAGAUAUGUCACAGAACCCCGAUUGCGAAGGCAGCUUACCAGGAUACAACUGACGCUGAGGCACGAAAGCGUGGGUAUCAAACAGGAUUAGAUACCCUGGUA